UAUCAACAGGUUUAAGAAUGUCAUCUUUUUGUGGUCUUUUAAUAGACUUGUCUUAGUAUGAUUUUCAGUUUUUAUAUAUUCUGAUCAAGUUACGACACAUAGUUAAUGAUUGUUCAGAGAUUAUUGCUAGAGGAGCUGCUUCUUACGCCGAGAGGGGGCUCGGGAAGUCUAUGCAUGUAGUCCACAUGUGUGUUUUUAGCUCUCCGGCGAUUCAAACACUAUCAAGUGAAGUUAUUUGAAAAAGUCGUCGUCACGGAUACUAUCCCCAUUGGAGAUAAGCAUUUUCCCCAGUUCACUGUGUUAUCUAUGGAAGAUGUGCUGGGGAAAGCAAUUUCAGGCGUACACGAUGACUUCAGAGGUGGCAGGUAGAUGGUCCAUCAGACCAAGAAUCACCUAAACUAGGAAUGCUCCCUUAUUGAUUUUGUUGAUCUGAAAGACUAUGUAUAGUUUUGGUGUUGUAAUAGAUCGCAUCUAGAUUUUAGUUUUGGUGUUAUAAUAGAUUGCAUCUAGAUUUUGUUUCAUAUUGUUUGGUAUUAUGUUUUGUUUUGGUGUUGUUGAACUAAGACUUUGUUUCCUAUUAUCUCUAUCACUUCUAGCUA